rnacentral:misc_RNA from 1 species
GGAGAGCGAGCGUGGCACCAAAUUUCUGCAGGCAGGAAAUUAUCUGAAGAACCCAUUCGACCAAGUUUCCCUCGGGUUGAGCUAUAUCUGCGGGAUAAUUGGGCUGCCCCACGUUAUGACAAGAUUUUACACCGUUCCUGAUGCUGGUACGGCGCGUCGAUCCGUCAUCUGGGUAAUGGUGAUCGCCGGUACUUUCUUCAUCGCUACUGCUAUAUUUGGUCUAGCGGCAGCGCACUUUAUUGGAGCUGACGCUAUUCGGGCCGCUGACAAGGGAGGCAAUCUGGCAUUGCCACU